AGGGUGACAUCGAGUGAUUAGGCUGCUGG
rnacentral:piRNA from 1 species